UACGGAGGGUGCAAGCGUUGCUCGGAAUUAUUGGGCGUAAAGCGUACGCAGGCGGCGCGUCAAGUCUAGUGUGAAAUCCCGGAGCUCAACUCCGGACGUGCAUUCGAUACUGUCUUGCUUGAGUGCGGGAGAGGGAAGCGGAAUUCCUGGUGUAGAGGUGAAAUUCGUAGAUAUCAGGAGGAACACCGGUGGCGAAGGCGGCUUUCUGGACCGGUACUGACGCUGAGGCGCGAAAGCUAGGGGAGCAAACGGG
rnacentral:rRNA from 1 species